AUGAAACUUUUGUGGGGGUGCCCAUGCCAUAUUUCGUUAUUAAAUCCUGAUUUGUUAAAUCUUACAAUGGAACACUUGCACGUAGCCUACACAAAAAUGAUUAAUUCACUAACAAAGUAAUAGGCUUGUCUCAAAAUGGAAGAUUUACCACAUAACAAAAUAAUACAUUAGCAACUGUCCACUAUCCAAGUGCAAUGGUCCAAGCUGUAUUGCCAUCCUGGGAAGAAAAAAAGUUGCGAACAUCGUGGGAAAAAACGGCACUGGCGCACAUAAUGGAUGGCAACAUGGGUGCAUUUAUAGUCCAUCAUGACAUAAAAAAUCCUCUGCAUGCAACCACGAGGAGAGGGGGAAUUUACUAAGGAGUUUUGUCUAUAUAUUAUAUAAAAUCUACUGUUGGAGCAGAACCUAAUCCAAAUAAAAAUAAACAAGCUGUUAAAAGCCAGUUGAAGGUGGUCAACACAAACCAAAUGAAGAUGUUGCACAUUCCACAAACAAUAAAAAAGAAGAUCAAGUUUUGUGUCCAACACACUUGGAUGAGACGUGCCCGACCCCUGACUUUGUCUACCCUACAUUAAGUUGUGAUGGCACACUUCAUGACAGUAAACAUCGGUAUCAAGAUGAUGUGAUUGAUCUAUACCCUAGAAUAAGCUGUGACACUAUGAGACGGUGACAUAAUGAACAGCCAUCUUCCAGACAACCGAAACAGUAUUGUCUACAAUACCAAAUUCUGGAUUGACGCCCCAGUACCAGAAGGCACUCCAAUCCCAGAGAGCAUCCCAUUGUGAGGUAACACAACGAAAAAAUAACAGGAUGGAGACUACCUAAUUCUUCACCUAUGGCCUUAGCUUCAAAUGCAAGAAGUAAGAAAUGCUAUAUGACGUGUAUUUUGCAUUAUGAAUGCAUUAUGAAUACAUCAAAGAUGUUGAUAACAAGUUGAUCUGUGUAAGUUGUGAUAUAAAGAAUAUGUAUAUAUAUUUCCAUCUAUCUUUCUAUAACAUUAUUUCAAUUGUUUUCACAUUUAGGUCCAGCAACUGUCUGAGCUGGUGGAUAUUCUAUCAGAGACUGCAUGAACAACGUUAUGAACAGGUAUGUGUUUCCCUUGAAUUGUGUAAUCCUGCAUAAUAUUGCAGGAAUAUUGAUUACAACCAUAAUUAACCCAGCAAUUUAUAUUACUUAAAUUCAGGAUUUAAUCUGUCACACAUCACUUGUUCAGAACUAUUAAAGUUCGUAGUGGCUCAAACAGUCAGCCAUACUGAAAACAAGAAAUCAAAUCAUAAUUUCAGUGUAAGCCAGUGGUGUCAAACUCAGUUCCUGGAGGGCCGGUGUCAUUUUUUGACAGUUACACACCUAGUUUAGGGUCUUUCUCAAGGGCACCACAGUGGGAUUGAAGAGCAAGGGUACAAAUGCUGUUGGUCUCACAACUGAUCUAACACUUAUUUAA